AUUAAAUAUUUAGAAAUAGGUUAAAUAGUUACAUUUGUAACUAUAUAUUAAAAGGGAAGUUGGGUUUAAAUCCCACGCGGUCCCGCCGCUGUAAUAGAGGAGCUUUUUGUACUUUAAGCCACUGGAAUAUAAUAUUUUGGGAAGGCCACAAAAAGUGAUGAUACUUGAGCCAGAAGACCUGCCUAUUUUUAAAACAUCAA
rnacentral:ncRNA from 2 species